rnacentral:rRNA from 1 species
AGUCGAGGGGUAUAAGUCUUCGGAUUUAGAGACCGGCGCACGGGUGCGUAACGCGUAUGCAAUCUACCUUUCACAGAGGGAUAGCCCAGAGAAAUUUGGAUUAAUACCUCAUAGUAUAGUACCUUGGCAUCAAGGAACUAUUAAAGAUUUAUCGGUGAAAGAUGAGCAUGCGUCCCAUUAGCUUGUUGGUAAGGUAACGGCUUACCAAGGCUACGAUGGGUAGGGGUCCUGAGAGGGAGAUCCCCCACACUGGUACUGAGACACGGACCAGACUCCUACGGGAGGCAGCAGUGAGGAAUAUUGGUCAAUGGGCGCAAGCCUGAACCAGCCAUGCCGCGUGCAGGAUGACGGUCCUAUGGAUUGUAAACUGCUUUUAUACAGGAAGAAACAACUCUACGUGUAGAGUCUUGACGGUACUGUAGGAAUAAGGAUCGGCUAACUCCGUGCCAGCAGCCGCGGUAAUACGGAGGAUCCAAGCGUUAUCCGGAAUCAUUGGGUUUAAAGGGUCCGUAGGCGGCUUAAUAAGUCAGUGGUGAAAGCCCUACGCUUAACGUAGGAACGGCCAUUGAUACUGUUAGGCUUGAAUUAUUAGGAAGUAACUAGAAUAUGUAGUGUAGCGGUGAAAUGCUUAGAGAUUACAUGGAAUACCAAUUGCGAAGGCAGGUUACUACUAAUGGAUUGACGCUGAUGGACGACAGCGUGGGUAGCGAACAGGAUUACAUACCCUGGUAGUCCACGCCGUAAACGAUGGAUACUAGCUGUUGGGCGCAAG